CGUUAUUUGAAAAGGGAUAAAUAAUAAUGUCUGCUCAAUGUAUUUAUAAAUAGCUAUAGUAAUCUAACUAUACAAAGGUAGCAUAAUCAUUUGUCUUUUAAUUGGAGACUGGCAUGAAAGGCAUCAACUGAAGAGAAAGUUUUACUAUAAUAUAUUGAAUUUUAAUUAUAAUUAAAAAUGAUUAUAUUAACUCUUGGGACGAGAAGACCCUAGAAGCUUUGAAGGGCUUAAUUGAGAACCUUUUGGUUGGGGUGACUAAGGAAUAUCUAAACUUUCUUUUUUAUAAAUAUAGUAUUUAAGUUACUCUAGGGAUAACAGCGUAAUUAAUUUGAAGAGUUCUUAUUAAAUAUUUAGAUUGCGACCUCGAUGUUGAAUUAAGUAUCCAAUGUGGUGAAGGAGCCUAAUGGGGUAGUCUGUUCGACUAUUGAAAGCUUACA
rnacentral:rRNA from 1 species